UUUUAAAUGAAGCAGUAUUGUAAACCAAUGACAAAUAUAAAUCAAGCACUCCCUGUUGUUUAGUGGCAGCGAUGGUGCCCACGGAAGCUCAAACUUGAUGGCGAUGUACUUCAGGACCCAAAGAAUCAGAACUGUGCCCAAUUAUGAUUCCCCAGUUGGCACGUCUCCAGUAGAAAAUUAUAAUGGAAUACUCCUAAGUAGUCGAGUCGCUGAAUGGAACACUAAUCCUCAAGAGCUUUAACAAGCUGUCCUAAUGCAAAUAAUAAGCCAAAUCCAAUUCAAUAAAUCUCCCUGGCACUCUGAACUCAAAAGAAGUCCACCGACGUGAAAAGUAAAGCGAAAACUGAACUCCGUGUGGUAGGUGACAACUGGCGUCGCAGUGGAUUGCUGGCGAUUGGCGGUGAGGGCGGUCGCAGAAAGUGUGGUGACUAUGGGAUACCGACGAGGAAGGAAGAGCUUAGGGGGUUUGGGUUGAUUGGGUAUUGUAGAUGUGGGCGGGGUUAAGUGUUAUAUAUAAUGGGCUAGGGUUAUAGGCUGCGCGAAUUUGGGACCGGUUAUCGGUCGAAUGGUGUUGGGCCGAUUGUGAUAAUAUGUGAUAAGUGGGUUGAAUUUAGUGUUUAUUGGGCUAGAAAACAAGUGGAUUGGCUAAAUAGAUGAUGAGAGAUGGG
rnacentral:lncRNA from 1 species